GACAGAGGGUGCAAACGUUGCUCGGAAUCACUGGGCGUAAAGGGCGUGUAGGCGGGUAGGCAAGUCGGGGCGUGAAAUCCCUGAGCUCAACUCAGGAACUGCACUCGAAACUGCUUAUCUUGAGUGCCGGAGAGGAAAGCGGAAUACCUGGUGUAGAGGUGAAAUUCGUAGAUAUCAGGUGGAACACCAGUGGCGAAGGCGGCUUUCUGGACGGUAACUGACGCUGAGACGCGAAAGCGUGGGGAGCAAACAGG
rnacentral:rRNA from 1 species